rnacentral:rRNA from 1 species
AGAGUUUGAUCCUGGCUCAGGACGAACGCUGGCGGUGUGCUUCACACAUGCAAGUCGAACGGAGUAGCAAUACUCAGUGGCGGACGGGUGAGUAACACGUGGGAAUCUACCAUUAGGUGGGGAAUAACAGGCCGAAAGGACUGCUAAUGCCGCAUAUGUAGGCAUCUCGACAGAGAUGUUUAUGAAAGGAGUAAUCCGCCUUUUGAUGAGCCCGCGUCCGAUUAGCUGGUUGGUAGGGUAAAAGCCUACCAAGGCGACGAUCGGUAGGUGGUCUGAGAGGAUGAUCACCCACAAUGGGACUGAGACACGGCCCAUACUCCUACGGGAGGCAGCAGUGGGGAAUUUUACGCAAUGGGGGAAACCCUGACGUAGCGACACCGCGUGAGCGAAGAAGCCCUUUGGGGUGUAAAGCUCUGUCAACAGGAACGAAACAAAUGACGGUACCUGUGGAGGAAGCAUCGGCUAACUACGUGCCAGCAGCCGCGGUAAGACGUAGGAUGCAAGCGUUGUCCGGAUUUAUUGGGCGUAAAGAGUUCGUAGGCGGUUUGUUAAGUCUGAUGUUAAAGACCGGAGCUCAACUUCGGAACUGCAUUGGAUACUGGCAGACUAGAGUAUGGUAGAGGCAAGCGGAAUUCCCAGUGUAGCGGUGAAAUGCGUAGA